UGAAUACGAGAUGCUACGGCGUCGAAGCAGUCUAUGUCAUACUUCCAAGAAAAGCUUGCACUGUCAUAAACAAAUAAUGCCUGUACCAUAACCGACACAGGUGGGUAGGUAGAGUAUACUAAGGGGCGCGAGAUAACUCUCUCUAAGGAACUCGGCAAAAUGACUCCGUAACUUCGGGAGAAGGAGUGCCUUAUUUAUAAGGUUGCAAUAACAAGACCCAAGCAACUGUUUAUCAAAAACACAGGUCUCCGCUAAGUCGUAAGACGAUGUAUGGGGGCUGACGCCUGCCCAGUGCCAGAAGGUUAAAGAAGUUGGUUAGCAUUAGCGAAGCUGAUGACUGAAGCCCUGGUGAACGGCGGCCGUAACGAUAACGGUCCUAAGGUAGCGAAAUUCCUUGUCGGGUAAGUUCCGACCCGCACGAAAGGCGUAAUGAUUUGGGUACUGUCUCAGAGAGGGACUCGGUGAAAUAGACUUGUCUGUGAAGAUGCGGACUACCUGCACCUGGACAGAAAGACCCUAUGAAGCUUUACUGUAACCUGAAAUUGAAAUUGGACUUUAUUUGCGCAGUAUAGGUGGGAGGCUUUGAAGAUAUUCUUGCGGGAAUGUUGGAGCCAUCAGUGAGAUACCACUCUUGUAAUGUUAGAUUUCUAACUUUGUAUCAUUAUCUGGUCAAAGAACAGUUUCAGGCGGGCAGUUUGACUGGGGCGGUCGCCUCCUAAACGGUAACGGAGGCGCACAAAGGUUUCCUCUGAACGGGUAGAAAUCGUAUCUAGAGUGUAAAGGCAUAAGGAAGCUUGACUGUGAGACCUACAAGUCGAGCAGGGACGAAAGUCGGUCUUAGUGAUCUGACGGUGCUGAGUGGAAAGGCCGUCACUCAACGGAUAAAAGUUACUCUAGGAUAACAGGCUGAUCUCCCCCAAGAGUUCACAUCGACGGGGAGGUUUGGCACCUCGAUGUCGGCUCAUCGCAUCCUGGGGCGGUAGUACGUCCCAAGGGUUGGGCUGUUCGCCCAUGAAAGCGGUACGCGAGCUGGGUUCAGAACGUCGUGAGACAGUUCGGUCCAUAUCCGGUGUAGGCGUUAGAAUAUUGAGAGGAGCCUUCUCUAGUACGAGAGGACCGAGAAGGACACACCUCUGGUGUACCAGUUAUCGUGCCAACGGUAAACGCUGGGUAGCUAUGUGUGGAGCGGAUAACCGCUGAAAGCAUCUAAGUGGGAAGCCCACCUCAAGAUAAGUAUUCUCAGC
rnacentral:rRNA from 1 species